rnacentral:rRNA from 1 species
UUUUGUGGCUAAACCUCCUUGUCAGAGCCUGAGCUUGUCAGAUCUCACACUAAGCAAGGUCAGAGCUGAUUAGAACUUGGAUGGGAGACUGCUGCAAAGACCAGGUGGCACAGUCG